UAAUCCCUGAGGUGCUCGUAGGAUGAGCUGGUAGUUUUGAGCCAACACAAACACUGCGGGAGCCUAACUCUGGUUAUGGAGUAAACGCCCAGUCGGGACUUAUAAAGUAAUCAGGAGGGCACCCACCUGCCGAGGCAGGUUCAAAACGCUGGCACUACGACAUAUUGGGGUUGUA
rnacentral:other from 1 species